rnacentral:lncRNA from 1 species
GGGAGGCAUAAAUCCUACUUGGAAAGACUACCGAUGUGCGCAUUCUAUCAUGGUACAUUUAACUAAUAGCUGCCGUGUGCAUACACAUUGGUACUUGCCUGCAUUGCACAAGGUCACGCCUCCAGGGCCAGCUUUUCGUGGUACAGGCAUCCGCACAGCGUCCCCUGCUUCCCGGAGAUCAGCAUGGGGUGUGGCUGCAUUGCACUAGGAUACAUCAUUAAAUAGACCUAUUGCUAAUUUUCGGUUGUCUGACACCUUCACUUGAUGUUCCAAACUAGUACUAAACUGAGGUUGAGCUUACUCUCUUUUAUGUUGUGCAACUACUACUCUGUAGCUAAGUUAUAUAUGAAGUGACCUUCAGAUGAGAAUGGUUAGAUGUUGAUUGAAAAUCCUAGUAAUGUGAUUGAGAAUUAAGAAAGUUGCAGGCAACUUAUGAAGAGAGAACCCGAUAUCAAAUCCAGCAAUCAAGUACUCAUAAAAUCCAACCAAGUUCUGUAAACAUUUCUUGUUACUGAUAUUAGUAUAGUCAAGGUCAAUCAUGCUGCAAACAAGGAAAUUUGGUAGUGAUUGUCAAUUUGUGUGUUUCCAUGCUUCAAAGGAAGGAUGUGGAUGAGAGGGAAAUUAAAGAUAGGAGCACAUACAUAAAGGAGAGGAAGAUGAUUAAAGGAGAAAAAGUCCUAGGAUCCAUUGCAACAGUACGCUAAACAAAGACGAUAUACUAGUUGUAAAAUGAACAGAAUUUAAUAGAGGGAUCGAUUUGACAGACUGAUUGCAGCAUGAAUCACAAAAAUGCACCACCCACAUGGAAAAUUGUAAAAGGUUACAUCUGCAUGCAGGAAACAAAGUUGGGUUUUGACAGGCAUGGCAGAAGAAAGUACCGCUGUAAAUCACUAAUGGUGAGUUUAAUUUUGCGUGGAACAAACCUUAGUAACUUACGAUAGAUGAAAUAAAGUGCCUGAACUUGCGGAGCUGCAACUCAAGAUAGAUGUCAUGCAGAGGAGAUAUACAUAUGUGUGAAUUGAAACAAUUUGGGAUUUCGAAGGAAAUACAAUGUGCAGAAAAGGAUGCCUAAAUUCAGAAGAGUAUUUCUCUGAGACAAGUGAAUUAAUUCAGACAUCACACUUCAGUAGGUUGUAUAGAUUGACUUGAUGACUUUGGAAAGAGCUUCAUUUAUGCAAGAUGGGAUGAAAGGAUAUGACCGAGUGUCAGGGUUUUCAGAUGCACUCUAAUGGACAAAAAUAGAACAAUGCAUGCUGUAGAAAGGGUUAAAGGCAUGGCAAAGGUAUUGCUUCAUCUAUAUCUAUACAUAACACAAGUACUACACAAUACAUUUGUCCAUCAUUAGCAACCCAUGUUAGUACGACCAAUCUCAGUCCAGUUGUUUUGCAAAAUUCUUGCUGGAAAAUAUGCAUUAUAAGGCACAACAAAAAUCAUCGUGAUCAUUCAUAUGCACAUAAUGAAAUAAUACCAUUUGAUUUAUCUUGCAAAAUAUUUUGUAAUUCAAUAUUUUAUUUAAAUUUACUAUCAGGAAUGAUCAAAAUUUUAUACCAGAGACCAAAUAAGACUUUUGUACCUCAGAUAAAUUUUCAUAUGAAAUCAAUAUUACUGAAAUAAAUUUGUAGGUGUAAUGGUGACCAAAUAAGAACUAGUGGAGAUGAUAAGUCUUGGCUGGCUGGACUAAAAGUUUCUAAGGUGAAUUGGUAGAGACAUCCUAAUUUAGACUUGUACUGAUCCAUUAGCUUGGCCAUAAAAAUCAAAAGAAUUGCUAUAAUCUGGUGUUCUUCACAACUUCGUGAUAACACUAAAAUGUUACUCCUAGUUUCCAAGAUCACUGUUUUUCACUUGUAUAAUUACCUUAAAAUGUCAAAAAGAACAGACAAACAAAAAAAAUAACAAUUAGCUUGAUCAGCUUUUGCACAAGCACAAAAAAGGCAACACUCACUAAACCGUGUAAUAGCUAUGAUCACGAUAAUGAACUGGCAAGUAUCAGACAAGCCGUGUGUGAGAGUGAUAACUAUGAAGGGAAGGAUGUAACCGGGAUGCGACAGAAAGCUUGCCACUUGACACUGUCGGUGACGAUAAUAACGACGGCGGGAAGUUGCAAUAUGCGUGUGAUGGUUUGGGAAAUGUGGCACACACCCUCUGAAGCUGGAAUGUGUCAACGUCCUGCGUGGAACAACCUCGCUUGACUGAGCUUCCGCCAUGAUAUAGGAGCAAGUGCCUCCCCACUGCACCUGUGAGCAAGGACCCAGAAUCCAGCGAGAAUAUCUUCUCCAUCUGCCACUGGGUGGAAGUGGAGCUCCCACCAUUGUUUCGCUAAACAGUAUAAGUAAUGGGAGAUGUGCUGCGCUUAAGCACAAACAUCAGAGUUGUGCCUUGACCUGCCUCCAGGAUGGUCACAUCAUCAGCCGGAUUUCUUUCACAGGGCGGGUGAUCAGCCACGGACAGCUCCAUCCUUCGGAUGUCAAGCACCAGCAAUUUUUCAGUGGAGCCUGAAAUCCAGUAGAAAUAGCCAUGGGCGUAAUGGCGCCUCAGGAAGAUAAACAAUGUCAAUAACACGAAGCCAGGUGACAUGUCGCUCCAAGUCGGUGAUGGGACGGUUCGCCAUUGCCCUGUGCCGGAACAGAAGACAGCGAUCACUGGCUUGUUUUGGAGCAGCACCAUCCAGAUCACCCUGAAUGAUGGCUCCUCCGUAGUAGCUGCCUCCUCCUCGUCGUCGUAGCCGGAAGGGACGAGGAAGGAGUGGGCGUAGCACGACCCUUGUGCGCCCACGACAGAAGCGGCUAGGUCAUCGGGGAUCCGAGGAAGCAAGAGGUACUACCGAUGUAAGGGGUCGCACACAACCAUCUCCUUGAAGAGAGGUCCGAACACCUCGCCGGCGUAGAGGCGGCGGGGUCUGUCGAGGAACACGCGGCCGUCACAGACUUCCUGCACGAACCAGCGCCGGGAGGGGGAGGGGAGGAAGCAGGCCCGUAUGGCGCACCUGUGCAGAGUGUUCAACUGCACAGGGCCCCAAGUUUUCUAUGUAGAGCAUUGAUGACUAGUUUAGGUUUGGGUAAUCAACGCAUCAACAAAUACUAGUACGUUGGAACCUGAAACGAAAUAACUCCAAGGCGGAGGCCCCAUCUCAACGCACGUCUCCUCCUCUUCUCUCUCUGUUCUCUUUCUCUUCUAGUGCAAAUCCCUUUCUCUCCCAAGAUCCAAUCGCACCCCAAAGGUCUCAAUUCUAUUCCAUUCCAGUGGCUUAAUUCCUUCGCAUUUCCCCCAAAACAAUCUCCUUAUUCAACGAAUUGGUAUUGUUCUACUCUCAAUCCAUCUAUUUAUCCGGUUUUUCUUUUCUCUCAUCUUCUCACACAUCUUCACUGCUUCUUUCAGUCUCAUUGUUGCUUGCUGCUUGUCCUUCGACCUGGGUGCAUGAUUGGAGUUGGAGGCAUGCCACAAGCGCUAGGCUGCCGAUUAACCGAGAUGAGGAACCGGACGACCCGAGCCACGCCGCAGCCGAAUGGUGUUCCUUCCAAAUAAAUCAAAGGUUGUUUCAUCAAUUUUCGUUUCAAUAUUAAGUUUUAGUGCAUGAUAUUUACAUCCUAUUUUCAUUUCUGAAAUAUAUUCUAGUUCUCGAAUUACGAUUCUUGAGUCUUCUUGAGUCAAUUUAUGAAAAACGUAAGAAAAAGAAAACAACACAAACUUUGUUCUUGAAAAUGUGCUCUUGAUAAGUUUUUACCAAAAGAAUCAAAGUUUCUUGUGAAAAUCAGAGUGCAGAUGCAAGCUUUGUUUUUCUGAUUGCCAUUUGUUAUGUUGAGGGCCUACAUUUUUAUUUCGCACCGGGCCUCCGUUUUCUCGGGUACGGCCCUGGGAGGAAGCCGAAGGAGAAGUCGGCAGCGCUGGCGACGGCCCUGGCCGCGGGCGCGGAGGGGUGAGGCGGGACAGCGGGGUGGAAGCGGUGCCGCUCGGGGUCGAGGAAGCCGAGGAGGGGCGUCGGGUGAGCUUGCGGAAGCGCCGGGGGAAGGAGCGGUCGGCGAUUAGGCGGCGGAAGGAGACGCAGGCGGCCGAGGCGCGGAUGAGGUCGGCUGCGGUGGGGAGGCGGAGCUGGAUUUUCACCAGCAGCUCGUCGGGGAUCGCCGGCAAGGCCAUUUUUUGGCCGCUCUCAGUCGUCGGUGACGGCGGCGGCGGUGGCAGCAGCUGUGUGUGCUGCUUUUUUCUAAGGGGAGUGUGUGUAGUGCUAGACAACUGCGUGUGUAGUGCUUUUUUCUUACACAAACUGUUGGGCUCCAACAGAAAGGACUUUGGGCUGUUGGGCCACGUUGUUGCGUGCCCCAGGGGCUUGUACAAAAUAUCCAUUCUUAAAACAAAAAUCACACAAUUGUGUUGUCCGUUGUCAUGCUGCAAUGGUGGAAUGCGAAAUUAUUGCGAGACAUACUGUCCUCACGCCUCUGACGCUCCCGCAAGAUGGACAGCACAACAAUGUGUGUUCAUGCGAUUUUUUAGGCAUUUUGAAGCGGUUUUGAGAAUUGAGAAGAUUCUAUGGACCGGUAUAGACCAUUUUUUAGAAGUUUCCGCAUGAUCUUUGUGUGUGUGCGCGCGCGCGCGCGUGCGUGCGUGCGUGUGCGUGUAUGUGUGUGUGUGUGUGUGUGUGUGUGUGUUCUAUAUCGGUUUUGUCUGUUGUUCAUUUUUUUCUUCACUUUUCAAAUAUAUGCGAUAAUUUUUAAAUACACGUUAAACAUUUUUUAUAUGCAGAUUGAACACUUUUCAGAUACAUGUUAAACAUUUCUUAAACACACUAUGAACCUUUAUCCGAAAUACACGUUGAAUUUUUUUAAAAUGCACAAUGAACAUAUUUUAAUACACAGCAAUUAUUUUCAAACAAAAGUUAAGCAUUUUUUCUGUAAAACUUGCGAACAUUCCUUAAGGGUGUAUGAAUAUUGUAUAAAUGACACAGUAUUUUAAUAUGGCAUUAAAAUUUAAAAAAUCCCUAACAUCAUUUUGCGUUUCAUGAACUCUUUUUAACAUGUAAGGAAACAUAUUUUAAAAGCGUGAUUUUUUUAAAAUGUCACGAAUAAGUCCUUAAAUUAUACGAACAAUUUUUACAAAUUACGCAAACAAUAUUUUAAAUUUCCAUGAACAUAUUUAAACAAAGUAUCAUGAACAUAUUCUUAAAAUUUGUUAACAUAUUUUAACAAAGAUUAUUUUUUUACAAAAGUGAUAAACGUAUUUUGAAAUGUGUGAACAUAUUUUAACGCGAUGAAUUCUUUUUGAAUUAUAUGAACAUUUUUUAGAACGAAAUUACAUGAAUAGAAUUUCACAUUAAAUGAACAUCAAAAAUGCACAUUAAAGUUUUAAAAUUUUAAGUAAAUAUAUUUUAAAAUAUUGUUCUAAAAGUUUUCUAAUAUACAUAAAGUAAAAAAAGGAAAACAAAAAAGGAAGCAUCUUCGUAACCGCUAGCAAGCGAGGGUUGACACUAGUAGAAAAGGGGGUUUUUGUCCCGGUUGGUAAGGGCCUUUAGUCCCGGGACUAAUGGGUCGUUACUAAUGCCUCCCCCCUUUAGUCCCGAUUCUUUUUUUUGAAAUUUUAUUUUGUGAUUUUUUUUUAUUUUUAAAUUUCUGAAUUAUUUUAACCUCUAAUCUCUAAUCACCACCCCUCAUCACUGCUCAAUUUAUCCUCUAAUCACAAAUCACCCGUCAUCAUUCCAAAUCAUCUAACUUUCCGGACAGUCACCCAUCCUCUCACUACUCCAGCCUGAGCACGCUUAACUUCCGGGUUCUAUUCUCCCUCGUUUCCAAGUCUGCACUUGUUGUUUUCCUGACAAUAGUAAGAUGUCAAUCCUAUUAACCCUCAGGAAUUUAGCUUGAGCAUGAAGUGACAUAUUUCACUGUUUGAGUUUGAAACUAUUGUUUUAAAAAACAAUAAUUAUUUAGUAACACUAAUAUUUCUGGAAUAAUUAGUUUGACCAUUGUUUGACCAGAUUUGACCAAAAUUCAAAAAAACUGAAAUAAUUAUUUAGUAACACUAAUAUUCUAGAAUAAUUAGUUUGACCAUUGUUUGACCACAGUUUGAAAUUUUUUGAAUUUUUUUGCCUCUCCAGAUCUUAAAAUCCCCGUAACUUUUUUUUUCUGUUAGGUUUUUGAGGAUUUUGAAAAUGUUUAAUGGGGAUCCCCGGUUAAAAUCGGAUGUAACUUUCCGAGUAGAUGAUUUUUCAUAUAAAAAACUUUUUAAUCCGAGUUUGUAUGCACAAAUUAUGCCCAUUUUACAAAUUCCAGAGAGAUUUUGCAAAUAAAGUCGAAAUUCAUAUUUGUAAAUUUUCCCAACAACUAGACCACAUAUCACAUGGGAAACUUAUUUUAUUUUAUUUUUUUGACAUUUCCAUCAUUUUCUUUUGUUUUUUCUAAAACUGAAAAGGCAGGGGGGGGGGGUAGAGUUUGAAAAUGGGACCUUUAGUACCGGUUCGUGCCAUGAACCGGUACUAAUGCCUCAAAGCCCAUUAGUACCGGUUGGUGCCACCAACCGGUACUAAUAGGCAUCGCACCCUUUAGUCCCGGUUCGUGGCACCAACCGGGACUAAUGCCUUAGCCGCACGAACCGGGACCAAUGCUCACAUUAGUCCCGGUUCGUGACUGAACCGGGACUAAUGUGAAUAUUGCCCUGUGACGAAAGCCCUGUUUUGUACUAGUGUGAGCAGAGCAAACGUGUGUUAGGCUGGCCCAUUUAGGGAGGCGCUUGAGGUGAUGCUAGCGUAAGUCUCACAAUUAGAGAGAUCUAGGGGCCCCCUGAAACCCUCAUGUCCCGAUAUAAUCCCAAUAAAAAGCACCGCGGGAUCUGGCUGUCAUUCCCUCCCAAACGGCCCUCGAUACCGAAACUCUCACUAAACCACCCACACUAACGAUCGUUCCUAGUAAAAAUGGUUCAAAACAGCUCAGCUUGAGCAGUGCCAAGCCUUAAAGUUGGGAUUUGCAUCUACAAAUAAAAUAGCUAAAAACCAUAUAAUUUUUUUGCCACCCUUUUAAGGAAAAAGAAACAUGGCAAAUGUCUAGCAAGCAAGAGUUGAGCGGAGCGAACAUGUGUUCGGCUGGCCCAUUUUAGGGAGGCACUUGAGGCAACGCUAGUGUCAGUCUCACAAUUAGAGAGAUCUAGGCGCACACUAAAAUCAUCAUGUCCCAAUAUAAUCCCGAUAAAAAGGACCGUAGUAUUUGGCUGCCAUUCCCUCCCAAGCGGCCCUCGAAAUCGAACCUCUCGUUAAACCACCCACAUUAACAAUCACGCCGAGUAAUAAUGUGUCAAAACAGCUCAGCUUGAGCAGUGCCAAGCCUUAAAGCUAGGAUUUGCAUCUAUAAAAUAACAUAUCUAAAAGACAUACAAUUUUUUGCCAUCCCUUUAAGAAAAAAAUGGCAAAUGUUUGUGAAUUUCAAAAGUAUAUUAAGACACAUAAACAGGUUGCAUGGAUGCGAAUAACAUGGCUGACGUAUCCCCCGGGGGUGGCUAGGGUGUUAUCAUCCAAAUGUUUUGCAACAAAUAUUUUGUUAACAUGGCAAAAAUGUGUUUAAAAUUGCAUGGUGUACUAUGAAUAUUAUUGAAACAAGUUGCCAUGACCAAAUAAAAAUAACCAUGGGCUAAUUGAUAAAAUUGCCAUGUUACCUACACUAAAAUAAAAAUGGCCUAAUUAAUAAAAUUUCCAUGUUACCUACAUUAAAAUAACCAUGGGUUAAUUAAUAAAAUUGCUAGUCUGAAUAAGAAAAUUGUCAUGUUACCUAUAAUAAAACUACCAUGGUCUAAUUAAAUAAAUUGUCAUGGUCUAAAUAAUAAAAUUGGCAGGCUACAUAAAAUAAACUACCAUGGUCUAAUUAAUAAAAUCACCAUGGUAUAACAAGUGUCAACCUAGCAUUUCAUAUCCUGGUUGGUCUGGUUAGGCUUCUAAUAGGCCUUGUCUCUCUUUUUUUGCCCAAAAGCAUGACUCUACACUCUAAGGUAGAGUGGAGAAUAAGGAUUGGGACACGUCACUGAAUACAUUUUUGUGUUUUCGAAAUGGUGUAUGACUCCGGCCACUGCAUCAAACAUGCACACAACCAAAGCAGAAUACCAAUGGUAAUUGGAAAUACACUAUUUGGCACUUAACCGGAGUUAUAGCCUUUUUAUAGAAGAAGCCCAGUUAUAGCUGUUUUCGCACGCAGCGCUCACACCACAACUCUUCCUUUGUUCUAACUGGCUGGCCCGUGUUUUUCUUUUUCCCUCACUGGUUUUGGGAAUGUGCUAGAAAAUUAUCUUUGGUUAUUGCGGUUCAGUUUUCUCUAGGGUUUUUUAUAACGGGUUUUGUUUGGUAUUUUGUUUUGUUUUUCAAUUUCGUGAAUUUUCCAAAAAUCACAAAAUAAAUUAAAUUGACUAUUUUUUCCUCAAUUCAUGCAUUUUUUAAAAACCAUGAAUAUUUUAGAAAUUCCUGAACUUUUCAAAAUUCAUCAACCUUUUUUUAGUUCGUUAACUUUUUUCAAAUCCAUGAACAUUUUCCGAAUCUUCUAACUUUUUUCAAAUUAGCAAAAAGAAUGAAACCCGUGAUUUUUUUUUCAAAGUCAGCGGUCAAGUGGUCAAUGCUCGACCAGGUCAAUCCUGAACCGAGGGAACGGGGCGCAUGCCGAGCGAGCGCCGAGCGAGCUCACUCGCGUUGUUGGGCAAGACCAUGCGAGCAGUCAUGUGAACGUUGCUUCGCUAUCGACGUGAGAAAUACAAUGGUAAAAAUGAUUCGUGAUUUGGACGAACGGUUUAAGAGAUAACACGUUUAAAAAAAGAAUCUACAAAAAAAAUACACAAACAAACUCACCCAUGCCUCUCGUGAAUGGAGAGAAAUCCCAACAAAACUCUUGGGGAGAAAUCCGGACAAAACUCUUGAGGAGGUGUACGUAAGUAACCUUUGAAAGGGCACUCCUUAAUUCUUAAUUAGUGAUUUCGGAGGUCGCAGCGAUACGUCGACCAAAUUGAACAAUUACCUUUGGGGUACAAUGCCCAACUCACUCUUAUCAGGCCGGUUCGGUAGCCGAAUCUCUUCUAAACGGGACAUCAGAGUUCUACAUAUAUUCAUGUCUACAGGAUCCAAAGAACUUCUAACCUCUCCCAUGCCAAGCAGUCAAAGUCAUCUUCCAAACAAUGAGUCCACAUUGGUUGCUGCACAUAACAAAUAUGAAAACUGUAACCGAAGUGGAGUUUUCCUUUUUAGUGGAGUGAAACUAAAGUGGAGUUCUGGUAGCUCAAAUAGUACUAUCACGCAAAAACUGAAAGAGAGAUACUUCGUUUAUGCGUGGCAAGUGUAGGAGUAUUUUCCUAGUCAAAUAAAAAAAAAUCCGGGUUGCCACUAACUCCUGAGGGCUACUUUAGCACAACACAGUUCUUGAGUGAUUAGCAGUGUGCAUACCGUGGCUGAACUUCGUUUGCACAUAGUGAUAUAUCAUCUCGUGGUGCCACGCGAAAAACCAUCAGAUCGGCCACUUGAUCGACCAUCUCCUGUCGAUAUCCAAAUGAACAGCGUGCCACAUCGAUCGUCACUUGCACGGACCCGGCCAUAAGCAGCGAAGCGUGCUGCAUAAUCUACCUGUUUCAGCCGUGUGUAACGUGUAUUCUUUGUCUGAGGAGGAGACUUUCUCCUAAACUUGUUUUUGAUCUUCCUUUCUUCUGUACGUGAUGGCUGUUUCUGACUUGCAGUGCUGGAGCAAGAACCCCACUACAGGGUCGAUUCUCGUUCCGUCUCUGCGUGCUCAUCAGUUUGAUUGAUGCCUGACAGCGACAAACAAGGGAUUAUAGACUUGUAGAUGAAAACUACAAACAAGAACCAGAUUAUAUAUUUCAUAGUGAAAACAUAUCUACAAACAAGGGAAUAUGCCCUCCUUUACUUCAAUUUCCAUUGGGCUACUUGGUGCAGAGGUCUGAAGCAAUUGGAAGUUGGAACCUAAAAGAAACACAGCGACUUGGGUUCUACAGUUAACCUGGUUUAAUUCCUAUGUUCUUAUGCUCAACAUCUGCGUUGGACAAGCAGAUGAUCUUGCACCCGAGACCACAGGGGCAACACGGAGCGCUACGACGAUCACGCGCCAUUGCCUGAAGAGCAUGCCCGCGGAGUGCUUUUGCAGUUUAUGAAGAUGAAGCUCAUGUUACUGUCGGCUACUUCCUAACACCAAGUCCAGCCUUGUCCACAACAAAAUCAGCAAUGCAGUACUUGUUGCCAAAUGCCAAGUAAUAAUGGGUUUGCCGACAGAAGAAAAAGUGCACUGUCGACCAGUCAUCCCGCAACUGCAAAAGCUUUGCAAUCCCAGCAGACCAGCUGCCACUCUUGCUCGUGUGCCUCGCUUGUACCCAGCGACCAUCAUGGCACAAAUCAAGCAAAUAACCUUUACAAAAAGGGUCAGGCCACUCCAUGUCUCCAUCUAGCUAGCAGCCUACCACAUUAUGGACGCCUUGGCACCACUACUACUCCGGUCCCUUGUCUCCUCGCACCUCGGCUACCCGGCCCCUGCAGACUCCGCAGGUCCAGCCCCAGCCCCAGCCCCAGCGCCUCCUUCUCGUCCCACCACGACCUGCCUCCGCGCAAUUGUUGUCGAACAAGGGGUUUGGGGCUUGGGCAGCGGAUGCGAGGACGGGUCCUUGCACGCCUCCAGGCCCAGCUUCUCAUGCUUCAGGUACCGGCACAGUGUCCCCCGCUCCCUGGGGUGUGCCUGCAUUGCAAAAGGAUACACCCUUGAAUGAACACAAGUUGUUGCUAAUUUUCAGUUUUCUCACAUCUUCAUUUAACAUUGGGGUCUUCCCUUUUUGGGGGCCCAAAAGGUGCAUCAGGAUUUGUGAUCGGGAUAUGGGAAUGGUGUGCUGUAUAUUGCUUUUGUCUGAUUGUUGCUCCUCACCGAUUGGGAAGGGAAACAAGAUGAGAGGCAUAAAUCCUACUCCCUCCGUCCCAAAAUAUAAGAGCGGUUUUUACACUAGUGUAGUGUCAAAAUGCUCUUAUAUUUUGGGACGGAGGGAGUACUUGGAAAGACUACCGAUGUGCACAUUCUAUCGGGUACAGACUAAUAGCUGCCGUGUGCAUACACAUUGGUACUUGCCUGCAUUGCACAAGGUCACGAAUCCAGGGCAGCUUCUCGUAGUUCAGGCAUCCGCACAACGUCCCCCACUUCCCGGACAUCAGCAUGGGGGGUGGCUGCAUUGCACAAGGAUACAUCAUUAAAUAGAGAUAUUGCUAAUUUUUGGUUGUUUGACAUCUUCACUUGAUGUUGCAAACUAGUACUAAACUAAGUCUGUAGCUAGGUUAUAUAUGAAGUGACCUUGAGAUGAGAAAUGGUUGUCUGACCUUCGACGACGAAAGAGGGGG